rnacentral:lncRNA from 1 species
AUGGAUGUGAAGCCAGCGUUACUCAGCAGGAUACGGCUGAGACAGAGGAUCCGGCGGGGCGGAUUCACGCCGGCACCUCGCUCCGCGGAGGAAACGGCGCAGGGCCCUGGAGGCACAGCGGYGCGGGGCUGGGAGCAACAGGGCCGCCGGGCCCCGCUCCUCCCCAGCGCCCCCGGCUGCCUCCCUCACCUGCAGCCCACGUGCCGACACAGAGRAAACUGGGGGAAAGAGGGACGCGGGCGUCGGAGCCUGCUGCGGGGCUCCGCGAGGUCUGGCUGGGACAGGUUGUCCUGCUGGGACAGGUUUCUCCCCGCCUCGGCCGCCCUCGCCGCUUGCAGGGAGAUGCUCCGGGUGCUCCCGGUCCCUCCUUGCUGGGGCGCUGCCGGGGCCCGCCGGGCACCCAAGGGCUUCGGGAGCRCGGGCAAGCGCGCUUCCCGGCACCGCGAAAGGGGCUGGGGCGGCAGGACCAUCCUCRGGGAGAGGCCGGCCGAGGGCAGCGUCGGGGAGGAAAAGCAGCCUUGUCCAAGCCGUGGCUGCGGGAAAMGCCGCCUCCAAGGUCCGGCCCUGGGGCACCAACCCGCUCCGGCAGAUCAGAGGCCCCGGUGCUUGAGCAGCUGCUUUAAAACACCUCUCUGCCUCGGCAUGCCGGGAAGCAAACAAAUCGCGCACGAGGGCAUGCAGAGGUGUGCGCCCUCAGCAAACGAACGAGAAAAAGUCAAAAAAAAGGAAGAAAUCAAGAGGCGCUUUUUCUCCGCGCCCCUCUGCCAGCGCCGCGGCCGCAGUUUGUUCCCCUUCCCCUGGCCGGGGAGGCUCGGUUUGCACCAGCCCUCCUCAGCGCGCUGCCUCGGAGCAGUGCCGGGCGGGAGGGAGCGCGGCGGCGGCGGCGGCGGCCGGGCAGCACAACAGGCCGGUGUUUGGCGGCGCGCGGCGCGCAGGGACAGGAAGUCCCCGCGCAGACAGCGAGUCUGCGGCGCCGCGGCGCUUGGCGCCCUGCACCCCGCCACCGCUGCGCCGGCCCCCGCGGCGGGGACGAGGGCGCGGGGGGAGCCGGCCGGCCGGCUGGGAGCGGGCAAGCCCCACAGGGUCACCUUGCGCUGCAAACCGGCAGCUCCGGCGAGGGGGCAGAAAGCCUCGGGGAAGCCUCCCCCCGCGCUUGGGGGAGUGGGAACGAACGCCUCUGCCGGGUCUGCUCCUCGGCAUCGCUGUGCACCCGGGCGUUGCGCUUGCAGCGGGGCCGGUGCUGGAAAAGGCAUCGGGGGCAUGAGCAGCCGCCGUGCCGUGCUGCACCRUGAGGCAGCACCCACCCACCGGUGGAGCAGGGCUGCGGGGUCUCCCCAGCUGCCACAGGCAUUUUCCAGCUGUUUUGCUCUUCCCGAGCGCCCAGAGCAGCUUUGCACCCCCCUCUGCAGCAGAGCCGGUGCGAGGGGUGCAAAAGCCGCYCCGGUGCUUUUUCCCUUCCAGCCUGCUGCUCUUCAGUCACCCCUCGAGGCUCAGGUCCCUGCGGCAGAGGCAGCGUGGGCGGCCAGCGUCCCACACGCACCUCGGCGGCGUAACCCCCCCCCCCAGCCCCCCGCUCCUCGGCCCCCGUUUCGCGCGACUACGGGCAAAUCAAAGGCUCCGAGCGCCUGGGGAGAGCGGGAGGUGCCUCGCCAGGCCCCGCGGCCGCAGCGCUACAAUAGCGCCUUGUUCCUCCGCACGCCCCGCUUCUCCCCCGUAUCGCAGCCUGCAGCACCGCGCGGCAGUGACCUCAUCUUUUUUUCCCCGUGCCUCCCGCUGAAGCCGGCUCCGCGGCACGGCCGGAGCCGGUCMCCGCCGGGGCUUUCGCGGGGCGCAGCGGCGCCCGCAGGUGCCGGCGAGCGACGGGCGGCGUUGGGAGCCGGCCAGGCCGACCCUCGCCCGGCGCCCGCCGCAUAA